UUCUAAUAUCUUUCCGGGAUAAGCUGGGGCCUGCGUCAUUACCCCACACUUGCAGAAGAAUGGGGAAGAUGAAGUAGGAGGCCCAAGAUCAACAGGCAGAAUCAAGACUUGAGCCCCAGCUUUUGCCCCAUCAGACCAUUUUCCGGGGAAGAUUACAUGCUGUUUUACUAAUUACUUAGAUUACUCACCACUGGGAGACUCUCACUUCAGAGCUGAGAACUGGCUGCCCGGUUUUCUGGCUAGUAACUGUCCUGAGUUCUUGAGCCAAAGAGUAUGCAAAGCCUCUCUCAACCUCCAGCAAGAUCUUCCAUGUCAGGAGGCAAACCUUUGAUAGCUACUGACAGGGAUCAUCUGUCAAGCUUCGUAAGAUUGUCACUUAAUGACAUUCCUUCCCAGAUUCCUCCUGCCGCUCAGGCUUCAUUUCAGUGUCACUUGAAUUGACGGUGGAUUCGUCAUUUUUAUGUGGGUUCAUCUGGAUGAGAUACUGGCUAUAUAAAAUUAGAAGAGGUUGAACUGAAGCACAUUCCAUUUUAAACGAAGCCAGCUUGUCAUGUUUUGAACAUUCACUGCUCUUCGGUAAUAUGAUUUGAAAAUUAAGUUUGUAUCAUAAAAGCGUAUCUUAAAGAGAUCUUAAUAGCUGAAUAAUGACACAAAAAAAGAAACAGUGUAUCAGAGAUGAUAAAAUGUAGUUAUACAUUUUUAUUCUAUGAAUGUAAAUAUUUCAGACCUAAAGAAAAUAUAUAACCUUGUCUUUUCACUUUGGGGUCAACUUAUAUUUUUUAAGUACUCAUAUUUUUAUAGUGAGAACUUUAGAUGAAUUGGAAGUUUCAACAAUGAUAACUCAAUUCUGUUACUCUGAUAUUUGUUUAAAAAUUUUGAGAAAAAAAUUGUUGAGCAAACCGAGUUCUUCAAACAGUACAAGUGGAUCAAUAUACCAUUGACUUGAAAAU